rnacentral:rRNA from 1 species
AUGAAUCUGAUUAGUUGGAACUGCCGGGGUGGGGGGAAUCCCCGGACAGUUCGUGAGUUAGCGACUAUUGCAAAGUCGCAUUCCCCCAUGUUUGUCUUUCUCUGUGAAACAAGGCAAAAAGCUUCAAAGAUGAGAAGAGUUCGCGGUCGGCUUGGUCUGAAGGGUUUUGAAGGUGUUGAUAGCAGUGGUAUGAGUGGAGGUCUUGCAUUUUUCUGGCAUGAAUCAUGCAUUGUGGAGAUU